GAGAGUUCAUAUCACAUACAAUUUAAAAACCCAAAUUUUUCAUUAAUAUACUUUUUCCAGAUUGAGAAUAAUUACAUCCAUCUGGAGAUCAAAUUAUAAAACGGAGACUUGUGCUGUAAGAAGGAAUCUUGUCACUCAAACCUUGUACAACUUUGUCUUUUAAAAAGAUUGCUAACACUGAUUUUAUAAUGCUCUGCUUCAUCCUUCUUCCAGACUGCUUUAUCCUUAAAGUUGUUCCAGAACACUCCUGGUGUACCCAAGGAGCACCUGAGACAGGAAUAUCUCAUGACCACAUAAUUUCACUGCUGAGACACUAACAAAGGAAAGGAUUAACAGGUACAGAAGAAAUAUACAUUAGGAAAGUGAGUACCCAGACAAACAGCCCAAUUGUCCCCACAGAUUCAGAAAAGUCCCAGAGACAUCCACUGCUUCACUGCUUUCCAAGCCCCACAAGCUCCAGAUGGGGCCCCUCUCCUCCAGAAGGUUAAUUCCAGAGAAGAAACCUCACAGAGCAACUGUAGACACUGUCAAGAGAAGCUUCUGGGCACACAAAAACAUCCUCCAAAUACUCCUUCCCCCUCCAAAGCUGUUUGACUGCAGCCUAGCUUCACCUCCACCUUAUGCCUUCAUUUCUCCUGCCUUUUCCCAUUACCUUUUCCCUUGUAGACAAAGUGACCUCUUCUUCACAAAAUCCAGCACGUUCCCCCAAAGUGGGGAAUUAAAAGGGCCUCAUGCUGCUCCCUGAGGGCAUCUUCCACCCACCCUGACUGUGCUCCCUUUCCUUUUUCCCCUGGGAUAUCUCUGAAGACAAGAGACACCUACGGCUCCACGUUCAUGCAGCCAAGGAUGCCUGUGUUGACCUCAAAUGCCCUACAGUAAUAAACACAAUUCAUGACAGCUCCUACUUUCAAAGCUCAAGGAAACAUCCCUUUGCAUUUUAAUGACACUGAUUAAGCGCCUCUAGAAUACGAAACCAGAAAACUUCAAACCAUUUGUGCUUAAGCCCAUUUAAAAUAAUCAAUACUUUAAGGCCAUUCCCUAACACCAAACUUGCAGCCUCUUCCAUCUCAGAAUCAUAGAACAGUCACCCAGAAAUCAUAGGAUAAGCUGAGAAUGAGGGAUAUACUGAAAAUAUUCUAGUUCAAAACUCAUUUUUUAUGCCUUCAUGGAUGUGAUACUCUCUAAAGGCCACAUCUUCACGGUCUUUACCAUAGACAGAAGGCCUGGCUCUUUAAGGGAAAAUGAGGAUUUCCUUUGAAUGCAUGCCUUCAGGAAUUGCAAGAUCAAGGGAAAAAUGAAAGCAAAUGCAAAACAUCAAGUAUCAGAAGAGUCAUGAUUAGAGAAGAAGGAUGAGCUGACAAUGAGGACAGAAGGUCAGUUCAUUAGGGAAGCUCUGAUAUAAAACACGGGAUUUUUUCUUCAAGAAAACCAGGAAAAUAGCAGCUUCAAUUAAACUACAUAUUAUUUUGGGUGUUUAAAAAGAGAUGCCCAUAUUUAAGAAGUGGUUAAAGUAUAUAAAUGGCUAAUCACACAAGCGACAUUAUUCCCUGCCACUUCUUCUGCUCUGCAAUAUUGUUACUUGGCCAAAUACCACCCUAGUAAAACCUCUUUCCACCACUGCAUACCACAAGAGGUUGGACACACAGAAGUGUUUCUCAUCUCUGCUACCCAGAACACAGACCUUCGAAAAGCUCAGUGCAGACCCAAAGCUAGAAAUGGGCUGGCAGAACUUGCACUCCACCACCGAGCCAGCUUUGAAAUCAGCUGAAAUUUCCACGCCCUUCAAGCCUUUUAGAUGAGCUGAUGGAGGACAGUGGCAGUGGGAAAGAAUGACAAGUAGAUAACUAAAAUGCCUGGAAAGUUGUCCCACAUUCCAUACACACUGGGAGAAAAUAUGAAAUACCACUUUCAGCACGGACAUAAUUCAGCUUUGACAAUCCUCUAAACAGGGUUUCCCAGGGAAAACCAUCUCUGGGUCCCUCCAGCUGUGUCUCUGUUGGUGACAUUUCCUUGGUGGUUUCCAAGUUACCCCUCCACUACCCACAUCCCCGAGCCCAGCAGCAUCUGAGCAGCUCUUUGCUUGGAGGACACCCUACAAACCCUUUGUACAAAGCAGGAAGGACUGGUGGCUCUGAAACCCUGCUCACAUCUUUCCCUGUGGACAGUGCCCUAGGAAAAGGACUACUUGGGGAAGAAAAGGGGCCACAUGGCACUGCAUGUUUUGAUGCUAAUGAGCAGGACUAGUCCCUGCAAUAAAUCCACAUCUAAAGGCUGCACCUCUGAAUAAGGACAUUUUAGGGAUACGAGGAUGUUAACAGGAUAUGGCACCAAUGAUUUAAGACAGUGAGUGCCUCCUUUGAGCUGAGUGUCCCUGCCUUGGCAGAGAGAUGAUGGUAUGCUGGAAAUAUUAAACUAGCAACCUCCGUGGAGAUGCAUAGCUGCAAGUAAGAACAGAAUUUGAAACCCUGUCGUCAGGAUAAGUCAUCAAACAGAUCCUCCUAAACAGCAGCCAAAUAUAUAUCCGCAUCUACUGUUGUAGGUGUUAAUGGAACAGCUCCCAAAUAUGAAUGCUGAAAUAACAUCCUGAUCUCCUGUAACCAGAGCUAAGAGGAUUUGCCAUUGAUAUACCAGCUCUGAGCUGGAUUUACUUCAAAAUUUUCAAAAGCCCCUGCGAUGGUAUAAAGCACGUUUUUGUGUCGAAGGAAUCCGGAGGAGUGCUUCACAUGGAGCACUGGGCAAUACGUAAUGAAUUCCACACUCCAGCUUUGUCCCCAGAGAAGGCUUCCACAGAUUCCACAAUGGAACAAGAGGUUUAUUGAACGGGACAAUGUGAGACGAAAUCUAUUUUACAACUUCAAGCAAGCUUCUGUCCACAGAGGACGAACAAAAUUUGUUGCUGAAAAGAAAACUAAUACUAAGCAAAAGAGCCUAGAUAAAAAAGCAAGAAAAUGUCACCUUUUGUAGCUCUUCACCCAGGAGCAGAAAAGAGUGAAUGUUCAGGAGGUCUGUGUGAAGAGACAGCUUGUUGGAGGUCACACCUGAAGAGUGGAGGUGGAGGACAAGGACUGUCCUAACUGUGAGAGGGAGAAAGUCCUGCCAGCUUCAGGGAAACAGCUCAAGGAGAAGCAAAACAGGGACAGAGGAAGAGCACAUGCGCAAAGGAGAUGGACUCCCUAGAACAACAUAGCAUACUAAUUCAUUCUGAUCUUGCUAUUUAGUACCUGCAAAGUCUACCAUUAUGCAUUAUUAAAUUCAUGUAUUAUUGAACCACAAUCCUUGUUGCCUGGUAAGAAAUGUGGAUGAUUUCUUAACUUAAAUUAAAGCACUGCUUCCCUUAUUUGAAUAAAACUGCAUUACUGGCUGCCUCUCAUGGUAAUCAGAAAACUGCAUUAGGCAGGUAGUACUGUAUGAAUUAAAAAAUAAUGAAACAAGACUUUUCAGUCA